ensembl:lncRNA SORL1-AS1 SORL1 antisense RNA 1
ACACCUCCUUGUUCUCCCUGCAGGAAUGAAGAGUUGCAUGGGGCUCGCUCGUUUUCUCUGGAGUUAGUUGCGUCCUAUACAGGGUCGUGUCGAGGUCGUCCUAAACCGUGGCCACUUUCCUGAGUGCACAGCCCGCAGUAGCGCCACAAGACCACCUCCCCCCGGCCCCGGCCUCAUCCCCACCUCCAGGGAAGAGUCCAGAGCCACAGAAUUAGCUCCUAGAACGCAACCAACAAGAGUCCAGAUGAACCCGCUCUAUUGGGAAACUCACAGUUUUUCAUCUACUCUGGGCACCACAACGUAUUUGCAGGGGCCACAGCAAAAACUACCCUUGAUCAAGCUACGUGCCCCAGCCUGAAGCACAGCAAAUAAACAUCCUGCACAGAGGCAGUAAAAACAAGGGUACAUCUGACAAAGAAUGCACCACACCUGGACAAUUAUUACACAGCUAUACAGGGUGUGCUUGCACGCACGCAUGAAUACCUGUGCGUGGCACAGGGCCCCAGCGGCGGCUUGCUUAUGAUCCCUCCAAGGUGACCAAGCACUGAGCCACCCUGCCUCAGCAGUAAAAUAGACAUAUUUACCAGUCCCUUCAACCCACAGCCAGGAGCUAGGCAAACACCCACAGAGGAGGGAGGACACACUUUAACCCUACAUUCAGCUUGACGAGCCAAACUCUCUGAACCACAGGAGAUAAAACUUCUGCCAUGGAACUGCUAAGGUAGAUAAUCAGCAACCCCCCAAGACUGUGCCUGCUGCACAACUACAGAACGCAGUGGAAGACACGCUGAAUUCUGAGUCAGAAGGUUGACUUUCUAGCUGUGGGGACUUGGCCAAACCUCCUCAGAGCUUCAGUUUUCUCAUCUGUAAAAUAGAGAUCUUAAUCCCUACCAAUCUCACAGGACUGCUGAGAGUAUCAGAUGAGGUAAGUAUAUAAAAUAGCUGUGCAAAUUUGUGUGAAGGCCUCCAGAGAGAAAUAGUGCAUGCAGGUGGCAUUAGAAACAUAGAUUCUAGUCCUGGCUUUGCAACCAAAUUAUUAUGUAAUUUUUUGUCUUGA